rnacentral:rRNA from 1 species
UACGUAGGGGGCAAGCGUUGUCCGGAAUCAUUGGGCGUAAAGCGCGUGUAGGCGGUUCGGUAAGUCUGCUGUGAAAGUCCAGGGCUCAACCCUGGGAUGCCGGUGGAUACUGUCGGGCUAGAGUACGGAAGAGGCGAGUGGAAUUCCCGGUGUAGCGGUGAAAUGCGCAGAUAUCGGGAGGAACACCAAUUGCGAAGGCAGCUCGCUGGGACGUCACUGACGCUGAGGUGCGAAAGCGUGGGGAGCAAACAGG